rnacentral:rRNA from 1 species
AUGAGGGACUUCUACCUGUGUUAUCCUGCAAUUCUCAUCAACACAUUAGUUCGUCAACCAUGUUUGUCGUCAAUACUCCAAAACCAACUAGGGGUGGCACUAGAUGCACUUACACACCUGCCAUCCAUCAACCACAAACCCAACAUACGUUCCAUCUUCCAGAUGUCGUCGAUGCAGACCACAAUCUGCAUCCGCUCCUGGACUACCUCCCUAGCUCCGCACCGGCGUUGGAGCAGACGCCGUCGCAACGACGGAGCCCGAGGACACAUGUCCACCACGAGGAUGCCGCUGCCGCCACACCAUCCUUGCUUGAACAGUCUGGUUUUCAAAACCAUCCCCAACCAUAGGACCGACCGCCUUGUUGAAGAAGGAUCUGAAGAAUCUUUAUUCAGCGCCGUCAUCGCCGUCACCGAAGCCAAGACGAUGAACAACCUAAAAGUGAAGCUACUUUAG